CAGGGAACCGUCCUGGGCGGGUGCAGACCCGGCUCAGGUGCGCGGUGACCAGCGGGGCUGGGGGAGGCGGGGCAGCACCUGGCAGAAGCCUGAGAGGCUUCGUCCUCGCUGCUGCGCUGCUGCUCGUCCUCCAGCCCAGGUCUGGGGCAGACACAGACGAGAGCCUACAUCCCGCGGCUGGAGGAAGCACUCUGGGGGCGUCUGCUUCCACGCAGGGUGGCCCACGCCAUGCAGAGCCCCUGAAUCGCCACGCUUGGGAGACCUCAGACCACUUUCUGUGGGCCGUGGUGAGAACCAGCUCCAGGGCCCUUGUGAGCAGGGCCUCCCCUCGGGGGUGAUGGGGGCUGGAGGGGGCCCUGCACAGCGCUCGGCCCCUGAGCUGCGUGCGUGCCACGGCCCCACGCACACCGCCUUCCUGGGUCUGCAGGGACCGCCCUCGGGCCAAUUAAAGAGUUUGUAAAUCAGAUUAGAGAAGCCUGAGGUUGGGCUUUGCAACAGAAGCCACUGUCUCUGUCCAGAACGCCUCGGCCUUCAGGUCCUUUAGCAGAGAAGACGCGUGGCUGGGGCCCCUGACCUCACCCAGCACCUGGCAACACAGACACGGGCAUCCUCCUGCUUCAGGCCCGACCUCAGGCUCAAAGAGAGCAAAGGGUCCUGGGGGAGGCCUGGUGGGGGCUGCAGAGAGGACCAGGUAGGUGGGAGAGGUGGGUCCUGGGCCCCCGAGUUCCGUGCGGAGCUGGGUCUCCUGUUGAGGUCGGGAGGGGAGCAGGGGUCCGGGGGGCUGCGCGGAGAACCUGGGGGCUCCGCUGGUCCCUGGUGAGGGGAGAAAGGGGCUCUCCCGACCUCCUGGGUGCUGUGCGCCACAGGCCAGGGCGUCGCCGCACGGGGCGUCCCGGUACCCGGCCCCCCAGGCCCCUCUGACACUGGGAGCACACGGGCACCCGGUUCUCUUGGCGUCACGCUCUCUGAAGGCCGACCGGAGGUGGGUCCUCUGAGCCCCCGGGAGGGCAGUGGCCCUGCUGCGGCGGCGGGGACGGGUGCCCAGUGCUGCCACCCCCGUAGGUGACGACCUGCCCACCAUGGGGCAGACCCGGAAGGAUCGGGUUUUCACGGCCCUGCUGUGGGCUGCAGCAGUCUCCGGCCUCACCACGCUCAUCCUGAUCCUCGUGGAGGCCGCCAGAGUCCACCUACCCGCGCACACCAAGUUUGGGAUCGUGUUCGACGCCGGGUCCUCCCACACGUCCCUCUUUGUGUAUCAGUGGCCAGCAAACAAGGAGAACGACACGGGUGUGGUCAGCCAGGCCCUGGCCUGCCAGGCGAAAGGUCCUGGAAUCUCCUCCUACACCUCCGACCCUGCACAAGCUGGCGAGAGCCUGCAGGGCUGCCUGGACGAGGCGCUGGCGCUGAUCCCCAAGGCCCAGCAUAAGGAGACGCCCACGUUCCUGGGGGCCACGGCAGGCAUGAGGCUGCUCAGCCAGAAGAACAGCUCUCUGGCGGAGGACAUCUUCGCAGCGGUCAGCCGGGCCCUGGGCCGCUCCCCCGUGGACUUCUGGGGUGCCGAGCUCCUGACCGGGCAGGACGAAGGGGCCUUCGGUUGGAUCACCAUCAACUAUGUCCUGGGCAGGCUGGUCAAGUACUCCUUCUCUGGAGAAUGGAUCCGGCCGCUGGAGGAGACGCUGGUGGGUGCCCUGGACAUGGGUGGGGCCUCCACCCAGAUCACCUUCGUGCCUGAAGGGCCCAUACGGGACCAGAGCACUCAGGCCACGUUCCGCCUCUACGGCUUCGAUCACAGCGUCUACACCCACAGCUACCUCUGCUUCGGGCGAGAGCAGAUGCUCAACAGGCUCCUGGCUGGGCUGGUGCAGGGCAGCCCGGCCCUCCUGGUCCGCCACCCUUGCUACCACAGUGGCUACCAGGACACGGUGGCCGUGGCCUCUCUGUACGAGUCGCCCUGUGUGCCCACGGCAGCGCCCCCAGACCUCACCAGGAACGUGACCGUGGAAGGGACGGGGAACCCCGGGGCCUGCAUCUCGGCCAUCCGGAAGCUCUUCAACUUCUCCAGCUGCCAGGGCCGAGAAGACUGCGCCUUCAACGGGGUCUACCAGCCCCCCGUGCGGGGCCGGUUCUAUGCCUUCUCCAGCUUCUACUACACCUUCCAUUUCCUGAACCUCACGUCGGGGCUGCCACUGGCCGCUGUAAACGCCAGCAUCUGGGAGUUCUGCCAGAGGCCCUGGAAGCUGGUGGACGUGGGCACCGCUGCACAGGACCCCCGGCUGCGUGACUACUGUGCCUCGGGCCUGUACAUCCUCACGCUCCUGCUCGAGGGCUACGGCUUCCGCGAGGAGACCUGGGGCGGCAUCGAGUUUCGCAAGCAGGCCAGCGGCACAGACAUCGGCUGGACGCUGGGCUACAUGCUGAAUCUGACGAGCAUGAUCCCGGCCGAGGCGCCCGCCCAGUGGCGGGCGGAGAGCUACGGCGUCUGGAUGGCCGGAGUCGUCUUCAUGGUGCUGACCCUCGCAGCCAUCCUCGGGGCUGCUGCGGUGCACCUCUGCUGGCUCCAGCACUGAGCGGCUGCCCUGUGCUGGACGGCAGAGGCCCAGCUCCCGCGGCCCCGUCCCAGCCUGGACACCAGAGCUGCCUGGAGCCCUCCUGAGCCCAGCCCCCGGGGGGGCUCCGAGGGGCUGGUCCUGUGGGCUCUAGCCCCGCAGGCAGACGGCCACAUUCUGCCUUCAGGGUCGCUCUGACCAUAGAGGCUGUGCUGUGGCCGCCUGGCUGUGGCUUUGCUCGUCCGUGGCCUCUGAUCCCAGCUCCCGGGGUCCAUCUCUCCAGCAUGUUUCCGAGGGCAGCAGGGGCCUCUCUGCACAAGGGCUGCCUGGCUGGACUCCCACAGCCCCCGGGACUGUGACUGCAGACUUACGGCGUGGAGGGCCAGGUAGAGCCUGGGAGGGUGACUGCUGGCACAGACGGGGCCUGGCUGGAGGUCCCCGGAGGCACACCGGGUUAAGGAUCUGGUGUCCCUGCAGCGACUCAGGUCGCUGCUGUGGCCUGGGUUUGAUCCCUGGCCUGGGAACUUCCACAUGCCUCGGGCACAGCCAGGGGAAAAAAGAAAAAGGCAUCUGGUUCUCCAGGAGGGGCUGGCAGUGGGCCCCGGGGUCUCUAGGAGCUGCCAGAGCCCGUGUCCGGGCAACAUGGGCUUUUCAUGGAGCAGCAGCCCCGUUCCCCCAGCCUCAGUCAGGCCCUCUCAGGGGCCGAGCCCAGAAGGUACACCAUUCCUUGGCAGGGCAGAGGGCUUUUAUUAAACGCUUCCAGCCAUGGGCUUCUUAGGGCUGACUCCUCACACACGCCGGUCGGCUGGGACCACGAAGCACUUGGGAAAGAUGCCGAUGCGGCCGUCACAGUGGCCCUCCAGCCACGCCUGGUCCACUGCAGGGGAGUCAGGGCAGCCCCUGCAUCAGCUCACAGACACCGCAUGUGCCCAGCGGCCCGACCAGGUGAUACCUUGGCACAGGUCAUACCUUGGCACAGGACGUCCACGGUGUCCCCUGGCUGCAGGGCCAGGUCCGCAGGCCCCUGCGCGGAGUAGCUGUGCUGGGCCACCACCUGGUAGAGCACAGGCCGGCCGCCCACUCCCUGCGGCAGGGAUGAGGGCUGCAGGGUAAGCUCGGCUUGGGGAGAGGGGCCAGCCGUCCCCGCCCGGGCCUGGGCCCCAGCCCCUGAGGCUCACCCUGCACUGGAGCCGCAGCCCCGCAGGGCCGGUGGCCGCCUCCCGCCAGGCCGUCUGCAGCGCCUCCUCCCCCGUGAGGGGCACCCAGCAGCUGCCAUCACUAGGAUCUCGGUAACUGCAAGGAGAUGCCUCAGAGUGGGUGGCGCUAGCCGGGGGCUGGGGCGGGGGGUUGCUGACCUCUGACCUCUAAGCCCUCCGCUGUGCUGGGCCUUCUCCCAGGCCAGGGCCGAGAGGCACCCGCCCCCCUUCCCAGCCCACCUGAGCUGCCCACACUGGGCCUGGGGAGGGAGGGCCUGGCUUAUCAGGGCCCGCAGGCUGGACAGGUCAGCUCCUCUUGGGGCCCUCAGGGCCAGGGUGAAGGCGCACUGCACCAGGACGGUCACCAGAGCUGCCGGCUGCCCUGUAGCCACUCCCUGAGUCCGGGUAGAAAGGCGGUUGGUCUCCAGGGCCCCAGAUCCGCGUGCCCAGAACCAGCCAGGGUGGCCUUCGGGUGGCGGAGGGGGGCAGGGACUGAGGAGGGAGGGGCUGUGGGCUGUGAGGCUUCUUUAGUGGGGUCCUUAGGCCACUGGGAGGAUGGGGCCUGGCCUCGGAGCCCCCACGUCUCUGGGGAGUGGGGUGCCUCUUACCCCAGCACCUGCAGGAUCCUCAGACGAUCCAGGGUCUGGCCCCUCCGCUGCCAGCAGCCCUGCAGAUGGCGGUGAGCAGGUGGGCCCUGCCCGCAAAGCGGAACGUUUGGAGGAGAGGGGUUGCUGGAACUGUGCACCCACUGGAAGCCGCAAGGCCACCAGCUUCCUCCUUGGGGACAAAGAGGCUGCUCCCAGCCCCCCCACAGGAGGCUGAGGACCGAAGCCAGGGACCAGCUAGACUUCAUCCCAGGAUUGGGACCCAUGCUGGAGUGGCAGCAGGACAUGCCAGGGGGCCCGCUCCUGGCCACACGGACCAGCUGACUCAGAUCCCGACUUCUGGGGGGGUCGGAAAGCCGGACUGUUUGUGAAUGAAGCGUUUCGAUUUUUA